GGUGGAGCGGUGGAAUGCGCAGAUAUCAGGAGGAACGCCAGUGGCGAAGGCGGUUCUCUGGGCCUUUCCUGACGCUGAGGAGCGAAAGCGUGGGGAGCGAACAGGCUUAGAUACCCUGGUAGUCCACGCUGUAAACGGUGGGUACUAGGUGUGGGGUCCAUUCCACGGGUUCCGUGCCGUAGCUAACGCUUUAAGUACCCCGCCUGGGGAGUACGGCCGCAAGGCUAAAACUCAAAGGAAUUGACGGGGCCCCGCACAUGCGGCGGAGCAUGCGGAUUAAUUCGAUGCAACGCGUAGAACCUUACCUGGGUUUGACAUGGAUCGGGAGUGCUCAGAGAUGGGUGUGCCUCUUUUGGGGUCGGUUCACAGGUGGUGCAUGGCUGUCGUCAGCUCGUGUCGUGAGAUGUUGGGUUAAGUCCCGCAACGAGCGCAACCCUUGUUCACUGUUGCCAGCACGUUAUGGUGGGGACUCAGUGGAGACCGCCGGGGUCAACUCGGAGGAAGGUGGGGAUGACGUCAAGUCAUCAUGCCCCUUAUGUCCAGGGCUUCACGCAUGCUACAAUGGCUGGUACAGAGAGUGGCGAGCCUGUGAGGGUGAGCGAAUCUCGGAAAGCCGGUAUCAGUUCGGAUUGGGGUCUGCAACUUGUCCUCAUGAAGUGGGAGUCGGUAGUAAUCGCAGAUCAGCAACGCUGCGG
rnacentral:rRNA from 1 species